UAUUUUUUUUGCCACGUCAGCAUUUAUUUUUUUAAAAUCUGUUGCCACGUAAUUACCACAUCAUUUUAUUAUUUUUUUUAAAAGCCAGCUGUUAACGUCCGUCCAAUUUUUUGGACGGAAUGGGUUGAUUGUUAAUUUUUAAAAAGUUCAGUGGGCUAAUUGAAUAUUUUAAAAGCACAGUGGCUAAUUCGUUAAAUCACUAUAACCACAGUGACCAAAAGGUGCUUUUUGCCAUAUUAAAAUUAUCAAGUACUUAUACAAACGAGAGACUUUAAUUUAAAAGAAUAUUAGACACUACAAAAUUUGGACCCAAUUUCCAUACUAUCAGAAUCAAAAUAAUAAUUUUUAACCAAACAUUACCAUAAUCCGAAAACUUACAACUGGAACACAAAACUCAACAAAGAUUGAUACAGAACAACUUAAAAACGGGGGGAAAAACUCUAAGAAGGAAAAAAAUGAUGGCAUGUACAUGUGCCGUAUGGUCCAUGUUAUGUGUAAGGAACCUCUAGGCAUUCAAAUACACUUCAAAACAUCAUUAAAACGUAUUACCAUGACCUUAAAAGCUUGCACAGUCAGUUUGUUUUUUGGCACCAAAACAGUCCACAUCUAAGCUUUCUUUGUCUUAAAGAAAACAUGGAAUAACAAUAUGGAUAACACAUAAUAUCAUGAUAAGCAUGGACUGAUUUUGACAUAGUGUACAUGAAUGAGUUUUAUUUCUAUGAUAUAUAUAUCCGGAUGACUUAAUAGAUAACAUAUAGCAAACCGUCACCAAGCUACUUGGCUAGUAUACAAACAUCCCAAACAGUCAUUAUACUUGGACAUAAAAAGGAUAUUAUUCCUCACUAUUAUUUUGAGUUCCAUACAAAAUCUAAGGUAAACCCAAGUACAGGGUUUGGAACCAAUAAACCCAAAGCUUUAAAAGCAUCAAGAUUUACCUCUGCUACGUGAGUUGUUUUACAAAAAGUAAUAGCAAUGUUCAUAUUUUAGAUUUUUGGAUACUUCCCAUUUCUAUCACUUAAUACAACCUUACAAUCCUUCUCUUAUGUGCACAAAAUUUUUUCACUCAAAUAAUUUUUUUUGCAUUUUUACAUUUGAAACAAAGAAGCCCUAAAUUCCUAACUCCAACCAAAACCGUUGCAUGCAAGAAAUUAGGAGUGCCCUCAAACUUAUUCAGUUUUGAUAAAUCAAAACAUAAACAUAAAAAUUAAAAAAAUACUUGCCAAAAGCACCUCUAAGAAAAAGAAAAAAUCCAACUCAAAAAGUGUUGAAAAACUAAACACCUGUAUCACAUCAACUCACAAUGCCUUUUAUCUAAAUCUUCAAAAUGCAUGCCAUUAUUUUCAUCUUGAAACCAUAAAACUUUUGAAUUUAAGCAUACAUAUGGAAGUAAAUAGAGAGACUUACAUAAACGAUAGCUCAGUGAGCUCUAACCUUGUGCAAUUUCUAAGGUUUAUACACCAAAUGCAAGAGAUUACUCUCUGAUUCACCAGUGAAUCUUGAGGGGUUUUACAAACCCUGUACUCCGAUCGUCUCUCUCCAUCUCCUUAUCAGUCUCGUACAGUAAGUACACAGCGUGAGAAAUGCUCAACAACUAUCAUUGGUUAUUAUAAUUUGAGACUGUCAUUAGUUUUGAUUGAUUUUAUUUAUUUAUUAUUAUUAUUAAAAAAAUUGUAAUUCUUGGUUAAGGGCAUUUUUAUUUUAUUUUAUAUAUAGAUUAGUCUUUGAUUAUAUAAAUGAAUUUAUUUUCCUAUUUGUUUUCCCAAGGAAAGUUAUAUUCUUCUGGAGUGCAGCUAUGUAUUUUCGUUUAGUCAAUUUACUUCCUAUUUUUAGAUGGGAAGGAAAAGUUAGGUUCUGUUUUUUCCAUGAGUUUUAUUUUUAAUACUAAUUCUAAAACACUCAUAAAAAAAUAUGGGGACAAAGACAGUUUUUUGUUUUGGACAAUAGUACCCUUAUUAUUCAAAGAGGGUGGAAAACCACAACAUGAAUUGUUAAGGGUAUAUUUGUCCAUUUUGUCCAUUUAUUAUCACCUCACUUUUUAUGUUUAACCGGGAUUAAUUAUUUUGGUUAGUUCUGUUUUUUCCCAACUGCAAGUCUGAAACUGUUGAAAUUGCUUCUUUUUUUAGGUUUAUAAUUGGCUACUUCGAUUAAUUCUGUUUUUCGCCAACUGCAAGUCUAAAACUGCUGAAAUUGUUUAAUUAAGUUUGUCUUAUAAUCUUUUUUUAAUAAUAAUUUCCUUGUCAUCUAUUAUGAUUUGUUGUCUGCUUUAUUCUCUUAUUAUUGAUAUUAUUGUGAUUGUGAUGAUAAUUGUUAUGCAAGUUCUAAUCAAUUUCAGUAUUUACCCUCACAAAUUUGGUAAUAUGAAUAUCCCAUAUCAUUUCAUGAGUCGAUUGUUCUUCAAUUUUCCUGCAACUAUUUUUAUAGUUAUAGUUAUGUCAGUCUCAAUACCCUAUGAUGCAAAGAAGUUACAUGUAUGAUGCGAUUAAGAUAUAUAUAAAAUUAUUUGGUAAAUAACGGUGGUAUGAUUAUAUUUGAAUUUCAUUUCUACCAUCUUCGCCCUUAGAUCACUCUUUUAACUGUUAAAAACUUUCUGAUGGUUCCAUACCAUUAGAUCUCUAUUUUAGCUAUUAAAAACUUUCUUAUGGUUUUUAUAUGUUUAAUUAUUCCCAUGUUUUAUUCCCAUAAUCUUAUUCCCAUGUUUUAUCGUAGGCCCGUAAUCUUUUCUUGCAUAUGCUUUUGUUUUCUCUCCCUUAUGUGGGCUAAUAUUACUUUAUUAGAUGUUGUUACUGGCCUAUUCAAAACAUAAGUACGAAAAUUCCAUAAAGAAGAAAUGAAUUGUAAAAAAUUAAUUAGAAAGAACAUCCAUAUAAGAAUUCAACAACUGAGUACCAGUAAAACAUCUAGAAAACAUACAGGAACAGUAAAUCUUUCAUACCCCAAAAUAAUUUUUUUUAAAAAAAGACAUACUUAAUCAAAUAAACACACAUAAUAUCCAAAGCAUCAACCACCAGAGGGAAAAAAAUAGAACAAAUAUAGAGACUAAAAUAGAAGAAAUUAAAACCCUAGGUCGAGAAAGAAGUGCACAAACCUGUCCAGUAGCCACAAUAACACACACAAUAACAGUAGCUAUUAGACCUGUCCAGUAGCCACAAUAACACACACAAUAAAAGUAUAUUUCUAAAACACAAAUGAAAAAUAAUAUCUUUUAAAAUAGAUUAAAAUGUAUGUGUAAAACCUUAAGACCGAGAUAAAAAUUUAUAGCGUGCAUGCAACCUAUAGAGGAUACUCUUAAUUCAUGUAAAAAUAUUUACCCUAACUUUAUCCAAAGUAAAUUGAUUGAAUUAUUCCUUAAAUGAUUUGGUCCCUAGUUGCCAUAUAAGAUUAAAAAUUAUAAUUAGAUUUGUCAUAAUUAAAACUAAGAUUGAUUUUAGGAUACCACAAUAUCGAGAGAACCCUAAGAAAUACAAAACCUCCGCGGCUAAGAAAGCUAAACACAUUGUUACCCAAUAUAACAAUUGAUCCAUGAUCAAUCCUAAUGGAGCUAAUGCAGAUAUAGUUAUGCAUAAAUUUUUAUUAUGUGUGUGUAGAGAGAGAGGGGUUACUAUUACAAACCUGAGUAGAGUAGAGAGGUUUGUCUCACUGUUCGGUUCUAGUAAAAGAACCGUCCGUGAAAGGCCGAAUUGAGACUAUUUAUACACUUUAUAUGUUAAGAAAACAUUUUAGGCAAAGAACGCCUUGCACAAUGUAGCGGUGACCACUUACAGGGUUACUUUUAUAUACACCACAAAUGCAUAUGUAUGCUCCAGUCCACGACAUAAAACAGUUUGGGUGGAUGUUCAUAAAAAGAUUAGGAAUAAUCCAUAAAAACCUGUUUAUAUGCGAGGUCAAUGAAAUAAGGUUGUUCAAAAGGAUAAUAUGUACAUUUACCAACUAUUCUUAUUAAAUGAGUCAUUUGCAUUGAGACAAAUAGAAAACUAUAAUAAAUGCAAUAUACAUGAGUCCACUUCAACUACAUUCUAAAGGAUAGGAGACUGCAGGAAGCUUGAACAUAUUAAUAUUGACACCUCCUAUGCAUGUGGAUAUCAAUAUUAGAGAAGAUAAGUCCAGCUACAAAUUGGAAUCACCAGUCAUGCAAAUUUUACUUCAGGUUUGCCACGUGUUAACGAUACUUUGAUUUCACAAAAAACUGGGCAGAUGUUGAGCCCAAAGGGAUUGUAAAGCCUUAAUUGGUAUUUUAUACACUCUAGAAUACCUUAAAGUAUAAUGUGUGGUGUGGACUCAUAGCCUCAUAUGAUACCUCAUUCAUAACCCAGAAGGGCGGGGACACCUUGUGACUGUUGUUUCAAGAACUUUCUAAGAUUUUAAAACUUGUGUAAAAAAAUUGUUUCCUUCGAAUAUUAUCCUUACAUAAUGGAGUCCACUCCAAUCGGUAAUGUUGGAAAAUAAAGGAAAAAUAAUGUGCAUAAGUUAAUCCUAUACAAAAUAAGUGCGAUUUUAACCCAUCUUAACUCUGCUUUUCUCCUUAAGUCCCUCCUCCUGGUUCUCAUUCUUAGUCUUUGAAUCCCAUGGGGAGUUUCUCUUAUAAGUCUUUCUUUACUCAUUUUUUAGGGAGUUGUUCUUUGAACGGGUUUCUGUAGCUUCUUACAUAUGGAAAGGUGGGUUAUUAAAGUAUAUUAACACAAAAUUACUCAUCAUGUAGGCUAUUUGUCCUCAUGGCAUCUCUUCACUUACGAGACUUAAGGAAUGAUAUAAAAAAAGGGAAAAAUCUUCAAUAAAAAUAAAUAAAAAGAAAAUAAGUAAACUUAGUAAAUAUAGAACAACUCAGACCCCAAAUGAACAAAUUUAAACUUAGAAAUGAUCUUUCUCAUUCUCAAAGAAAGAGGGGUAAAGGGAUUGUCUUUUCAAGGUCCAUACCAACCUUACAUUCACCUUUUUUUCUUUUAUAUAGUCUUGCAAACCUUGUUCUUUUGGUUGAGCAUAUUAUUAUUAUUAUUAUUACAACUG
rnacentral:lncRNA from 1 species